rnacentral:rRNA from 1 species
GGUUGAUCCUGCCAGUAACAUAUGCUUGUCUCAAAGAUUAAGCCAUGCAUGUCUAAGUAUAAACAACUUUAUACUGUGAAACUGCGUACAGCUCAUUAAAUCAGUCAUUAUUUAUUUGAUGGUUUCUUACUUCACAUGGAUACCCGUAGUAAUUCUAGAGCUAAUACAUGCAAAAAAUCCCGACUCACGAAGGGAUGUAUUUAUUAGAUAAAAAACCAAUGCGCCCUCUGGGCGGUUGUGGUGAUUCAUAAUAACUGAUCGAAUCGCAUGGCCUCGUGCUGGCGAUAGUUCAU